rnacentral:rRNA from 1 species
AGUGAACGCUGGCGGCAGGCCUAACACAUGCAAGUCGAACGGCAGCACAGUAAGAGCUUGCGCUUACGGGUGGCGAGUCGCGUACGGGUGACGAAUACAUCGGGAUCUACUUUUUCGUGGGGGUUAACGUAGGGAAACCUACGCUAAUACCGCAUACCACCUACGGUGGAAAGCAGUGGAUCUUCGCGCCUUGCGCGAUUGAAUGCGCCGAUGUCGGAGUAGAUAGUUGGCGGGGUAAAGGCCCACCCAGUCGCGGAUCCGUAGCCGGUGGGAGAGGAGGAUCAGCCGCAUUAGAAGUGAGACAGGGUCAAGGGUCCUACGAGAGGCCGCAGUGGGGAAUAUUGGGCAACGGGGGCAAACCUGAUCCAGCCAUACCGCGUGGGUGAAGAAGGCCUUCGGGUUGUAAAGCCCGUUUGUUGGGAAAGAAAAGCAGCAGGUUAAUACCACGCUGUUCUGACGGUAACCAAAGAAUAAGCACCGGCUAACUACGUG